ensembl:lncRNA
GGCUGAAAUUCUUUCUAAAUUUUUCAUUUUCAGUGAAAAAUUGUUUCAGUCACCUGUUGGGUAUCACAGACAAAGUUGCCAAAAAUAGCUAAGUCGGCAUUUGAAUCUCACAUAAACAGCAACUUCAGAAUAAAUAAGAUACGGAUAGCUUUAUUGGAUUUAAUUACAUGCAAAACUGAACAGCUCUGAUAUGAAAUACAGCAAAAACAUGAAUAUAUUUAUUAGGGCAAUGUUUUAUGAAAUCCAGGCAUGUUAUAAUAGCUGCUCCGAAAGUAAUGCCUCCCAGUUGAUUGUGCUGGUGGUAUGGCAGUAGAGGUUGAACCUUCCUUGCAACGUUAUUAGGUUUUGUUACUGUGUGACAGAUGGCAGCAGAAGGGCAAUCUGAUAAAAACGGUGUUUGUAGUGGAAGUGCCUAUGAAGCAAAGGCAUAGAACUGAAUUCCUCUGUGUAGAAGAAAUGGCACACUUUGACAUUCAUUAAUGCUUGCUGAAUGUUUACGGAGACCAAACAGUGGGUGUGAGCACAGUGAGGUGUUUCAGCCCCAUGAGGUGUUGUGUUUCAGCAGUGUCAAUAGCGACGUGAGUGACAAGUCACAUUCUGGACAGCCAUGCAGAUUUUUGCAAGUGUGGCAUGCAAGCUGUUGUUCACUGGUGAUGAAAAUCCCCAGCUAAUGGUUGAGACUGCAACGAAAAAUAGCAUUUUGUAGAUGAGACUUUGCUCUGUCAAACAGUGUUAUUUGUGCUCUUUGCAUCUGUUGUAUUUUCCAUGGAAGUAAAUAGGAGGCAUUGCUUUUGAAGCAACCGAGGAACAAACACAAAAACCACAACCUAGACAGUGAAAUACUAUUGCACUUUAAGAGCUGAGAGUUAACAUUCUGCAACUGUUUCAGUAAGUUUUUAAACGAUAGCAUGAAAGCACACUUUAGGAUCUCGUGUUCUGGUUCACAGUUAUGGAAGAAAACUACAAAAUUCCUUUCCUGCUUCUGUAAGCAGGGCCUGGUCUGCCACCGCUGAGUGGGCAUCCGAGGGGGAAAAAAGGGAGCACAAAGUAGAGAUGAUUAAGGGUUGAAAAGAUGACUCAUCUUGACGAUGUGGCAUUAAGAGAAUUACAUUCAUAUUUCAGUUUUAGUAUUUUAAUGCACUAUUUUUUGUCAUCUAAGAAUAACUCUUCCAUUUACACUUUUGAGCUCCCUAUACUAAAAACAAAUUCAUAUUCUAAGACCUUGCUAUAAUCUCAGGGUAGUUUAGGUAUUUAAUUAAAAAGUCUACAGUUUAGUUUCCAGAAAACUCCUGAAUCUCACAAUAUCUAAAACUCAUAAAUAAUCCUAUUCAUCAAAACAAAGGCAGAAAGUUUCAUUUAAUCAUUUGGCUUGUAACCCUACUUACUUACCUGUAUCAUGUUAAAAAACAAAAAACAAAACACAAAUAAUGCGCUGAUGUUGAAGAAGACUGUACAGUACUGAAGCUUUCCCUUUUCAUUGCUGGGAACACAAACCCAGUUAAGGCUUUUUCAAUGAGCUUUCAUUUUUCAAUUAACAUGUUUUAUUUCAAAUUUAUUCUCAGUUGAAAUGAGUUACAUUUGCAGCUGAGGAAAGCAAAGAUGAAACUUUGUUCUUUCCUUUUGUGCUCAGCUGUACAAUUUAUUUUUUCUCCUGGCAACAGAUUUUAAAUCUUUGCCUUCUUUAUUUUUUUUUUUCAUGGGAACUGUUUAGUAAGUGCUGACAUUACAGUUGACAACGCUUUGUGUGUUUCUUCCUUUUGCCUGGUUUCUGUGUCUGUGUGUGCAGGCAUGCAUUCAUUAACGUAAUUCCUCAACAUUCAACAAGAGUGUAUCAUAAACCAGAGGAAAAAAGCUCAUAAAUAUUUAGAUCCUUGCCUACCUUCCAAAACUAAAGUGAAAAAGAGUAUUUAGUGAGGACUGUGAGGACUUGGUUUGAGUUAAUCUGCAUAUGAAGUGAAAGAGGGUACAAAAGGAUGAAAAGGUGGUGGAAACGAGCAUACAAACCCUGUAGUCUCCAGGGGGCCAUUCAUCUUGUUCUUGUCAAUACAAUCUCAGUCCUAGGGCUUGGCUGUUUUUCGCGCAUGACCCAACAGACUAGCUUGGCUAAGGCAACGUUGCGAAGGAUGUGUGUGCUUUCUUCUUAAUUUUGUUCUGUCAUGUAAUUUUUCCAGGGGAGAGCAAAAUACUUCAUGUUUCAGAAGAACCUAGACAGAUUUCUCCAAAUGCAUCUCUACUUGUUUGUCAUUCACACUGACGUAUGGACCCCCUUCCCUCCCCUCUUUUUGGUAAAGUGACAGUGAGAUUCAGAUGCCUAUACGAGAGCUUGCAGCAGCUGUUUUGGAUGUCCUCAAGAUGUAAGAAGGUCCCAGACAGAGCAGGCCGAUGUGAUGGAGGAUGAAAGAAAAUUGACCUUCUGGAGAUUUGAUUGGGCACCAAGCAGGACAACAUGAGCUAUGAAUAGAUAAAGCAGCCUGCAAGCUUCUGACCAUACUGUAGCACGGGAGGAUAACUGCCUUGCAUGGGAAAUCAAUGAUGCUGUAGCACUGCACUUUUGCUUUGGAGGAACACUGCUGGAAGCACCUAAGAUUCAUAUUGCUCACUGCCUUUCUUUCCUCACUCCAGAUAUGUCUCUUAAUUUUCCACCACUAGGUAAAUAAUAAAGGACCUGCAUAUAACAGAGAUUUAAUAAAUAGCAAAGAUGUGGGAUAUAUGAAAGAUUGAGUGCAAAAAAAAAAAAGAUUCUGGAUCUGUUCAAUUAGUUUGAUUAUAUUUUAUUAGAAAGCUCAGCCAAUACAAAUGAUUCUUGUUCACUACCAGCCAGUUUAAAGUGUGGUGUUUCAUUGUAAUUCAUAUAGAUGUUUUCUGUCCAGUUAAAUAUAAACUCCUUGGGUAAGUACUGCUACUUUUCGUGUAUUGAAUGUUAAGAAGCAUAAGCAGCACCAGCAAUGCUUCAGUGUAAGUCAAUAUACAUACACGUUUACAUUUCAGACAUUAAAAGGAAAAAUUAAAUUAAUGUACCAGUUGCAUUUUAAGCUCUACUUGCUUUUAGUAGUAAUUGAGAUGAAUGGUUAAUUUAAAUCUAUUUCCAAAGUUAAGGCUGAAAGCAUUUCAUUUAUAUUCAACAAUAACCAACAUAGUAUGGCAUUUUACCAAAACAUGGGACACCUCAAAAACAGAAGACUUAUUCGAUUUCUUGUUGACAGAAUUGACAGCUCUUUGCUACUGUUGUUGCCAAAAUGAAUAUGCUAAUUUACUUUUUAAUUCUGUAGCAAGUGUGAAAAUACUCCACUGUGAAAAAUAAAAAUACUUUUUUAUUAUGUAUCUUAAACGGAAAUGUCUUCGAACAUUGUAUUUUUAGUUAUACAUAGUGAAUAAAAAAGCUGCUGGUGGCAGUAUUUUUAAGUAGCUGACUUCAUGACUUAAUUAAAUGCAGAACAGUAUUCUGGAUAAGUUUAAAGUAGAUAGCUAACGUAAAUCAGAUGAUAAAACUGGCGUGCAUGAAACAAAUAAUGGCUAAGACAUCUUAAUAUUCUCAAUUUCUAUAUAUCUUACUAUUGUAAUCUUAACUUGAGCAUGUGUUAACUGGGCAGACAUAUUCAGCAAUGGUCUUCUCGGAGCCUCCACAGAGCUAGGCAGCACAUAAUCACCACUGCUCUCACUUCUGUAAUCCGCAGCACAGGCAGGCUACGUGUUGUUUUCAUAUAGGAGUUCUCCAGAAGAGACAAACCAGAAGCCAUUUGAAAUUCUGCCCUACUGAAACCUGCAGUUGUAUUGCUACUGUAGUACUUCUGUGGCUUUAUGGAUGGAAAACAGAAUACGUACCACUCUGACUAAACCUAUGGGACUGGAAACAUUAGAAGUGCACAUGCUGUAUUUCAAGAGAGUCUUUUUCUUUUAAUGAACAAGUACGAAUAUUGAUUACCCAAACAGCAAAAUGUACAAAACAAUGCAUGUGUUUGCAAGUUAGAAGAUAGAGGAAAGUUUAUGAGGUUAGAGGUAAAAAAAUACUUUUUAAAUGUGUAUGACUCAAAUAUAUUCUGUGAAAAUUGUAUUUUUCACUGUAGCUUUUAAAUUUAAGUGCUGUUAAGAACAAGAAACAAAAUAGAUAAAUUUUAUGUUCAAUAUAUCUCAAUUUUGUCUUCUCUACAUAAUUGUUGGUAAUAUUUUUUCUAUGCUGAGAUUUCUUUCUUUCCCUCUUUCUUCCUGUUUUCUGCCAGAAGUGGCAUAUGAGAAACAUCAUUUUCAUCUUGCACUGAAGAACGUGAAAUGAAGCCAGUGCAAACCCUACUUCUCUAGAAGGUUCUAGUUCACUAUAGAGGUUUUUUCAGGAGCCUGGCAGAACUAUCACUCUCUCUGGGUACAGAUAUCUUUGCUCAGUGCUAGAACUUUCAUCUUUUCUGAAUAAAAGUCCAUGUAUCAGGACAUAAAGAAGCAGUAUGUACAGACACUGCACAUCAGUGGAAAUUACCUACUUAAAGUAAAAUAUAGUAGGUCAUCUGUGGUAAUAUUGAACACUGAUGGAACACACCCUACAAUGUACUGAUGUGUAUCUUUGUCGUGCAUAACUAUGACUAUUUGGUACUCACAGGGAAGCCAAACACAGGGAAUAGCCAUCCCUUCACUAACUACUGAGAGUUAAAUGAAAUGAUUAAUACUUAACAAAACAGUUCCAUAGAUAGGUACACCUGGCAUAGAGAGUAGAUAGGUAAGUUUUUAGCAUGAACAUUUAAAGAACUUGAAGUGGUCAUUGGAACAAACUCACAUACGCGCUACUAUGGCUUCUGUUUGAAAAGUUAGCUGUCAGUAUGGCUUAACAUCAAAGGAAAUAGCUUUUCAACAGUUGUCAAGCAUCACAGACUCUGAAUAUUGUUGAUGUUCUUGAUAUUUUCAGUCUGGCUCUAGACAUUACUCUGUUCAUAUUUUAGUCACCUUGGAGAGAUGAAUGAAUUUCAGAUAUCCAUCUGGUAGUGGCCUCAUCUACUGCAUCACAGUUACAGCUGCUACUGUCUUGUACACUGUGAAUGAAUCGACAACAGUCCUGGAGUAGUAUUUUUCCUCGGAUGACUGUAAGGGGUAAGGGAAGAACUGCUUCCUUUCCUGAAGAAGGGUAAUAUAGCACGUUGUUGCCUUCCCGUUAUAGAAAGCAUUUCAGGAAGCUGAUGACAUCCAACUGUAUAUGCCUACGAUUAUGUCAACAGAGAUGCUUUAACUAAAAGAAUGUUUCCCAGUAGUCAUCAGCCUUCAGCACUCCUACUUCCCAAGCUGCUAUCAGAUAUGAACACUAUAGCAGCAAUUGAAUUUGCUUUUUACGAUCAGUGCAAGGCCUUUAUUGCUGUAGACAGACUGCUGCUGGCAUUAUCAUAUUUUUUCUUAUUUCAAGAUUAGAUUAAUGCAAUAAAACUUCACCUUUAAAAAUAAGCUGCCGGAGAAUACUACAGUUUAUAUGACAUGAGAAAGACUACCUAGAUAAAAUGCAGGAAUUAAAGAUAAGGACCUCUACUCGUGUUCAGACAGAAACUAAUGAGUUAUGUAGUUACCCGAAGAACCUUGACAAGUCAUAGGACCUGUUCAGUGUCCAACAAACAAACUAAAACAACAACAAACAUGCCUGCCCCCACCACUACUAUACAAUCUCCCUCCCAACCCACAAGCCCUAUUUACCCAGCCCUGCCCCCUCUCUAUUUCUUCCCUCCUGGGAAACUCCAAAGUUCAAUCCAAAGCAGGAGUAUUUCUGCUUCCUCUGUAGAUGAGGUUGCAGGCAGGCCAGUCUUCUUGGGAGCUAUACCUUCACUUAGCUCUUGAAGCAGAACUAAUUCAACCUUCAUCUCCGAUGCAUUCUUAAUCCCCCUUUCCUGGUAGUGUAGGAAGGUGGAGGAAGAUAGAACACAAGGUAUGCAGAAAGGCUUUUAUGUAGAUUUUCUGUUUUUGCAGGAUAGUUGAUGAAGAAAGAUGUCAUACUGAUUUACUUAUUUAAAACUAAUGGUGCGUUAUCUACAUUUUGUCACAGCAUUCAGCUUUUCCAAGGGCAUUUUUCCAAUGAUUUAAAUUCAGACUUCAGGCACUCAUGACAAAAUAAAAGAUGAGAGGUAUUCCCUAAGUCAUUUAUCCUUAAUUACGCAGGCAGCCUCAGCAUGUAGCUCUGCCUCCAUUUUUGUACCGUUCAGAUUAGAAAAACAAUUCAGAUUAAGGCAUGGCAAAGCAGAGCUUGAAUUUGCAUUGAAAUGCACGAGUGAUUCCAGUAACUGCUGGUGUGCAACAUCUUAUUCACCAGUAAAUAAAUGGAAAAUAGCUUAGUAUAAGAUGUAUUGUUCUCAGUAGGCAAGACAACGGACAUUUAUUUCGUAUCUCCUGUUGGUAUUUCUUACCUUAUAUUGUGUGCUCACUUCAUCUGCUCAUAUCCAAGCAGUGGAAGCACUUUAUGUGCAGGAAGCAAUAAUGAAGCGGUAUGGGACAGCUGUACCGAAUCUUCUGAAAAAAAAAAGUCUCCAUAUGCUAUUUUUAGUGUCAGAAUUGGCAGUCCAAAAUAAUCCCUCUGACAUUAUCUAAGUUCACCUAAUUGUAAGACACAGCCUGCAGUCUGACACAGGCGGCCUCAAUCAGAUCAGAGCACUCAGUGAGCAGUUUUCCCACUCGCUGGUCAAAAACUAGCAGAUCAAUAAAGGGCUACAAAAAUGCACCACCCUUCAGGCUGGUCCGUAAUAAGCAGAAGAGGACGACAGUUUAGGUCGGCACGUAAGGUUUGGUUUUGCUCAUCGGGCUUUUAAAACAAGAGAGGAAUGGAGCAAACACAACCUUGUUAUUAAAUGGAAGCAGCACUGUGUCACCAUCCAUAGCCACGCUGCAGGGUGCUGCAACAGAGGGACCAGCGACCCACGUUUAAAGAAAGCAAAACAAAACAGUAGCCUGCGAAGCUGCUACUCUCUUUGAUAAUAGAGGUGAUAACAAAAAAAAAAAAAAAACGACGGAAGCAAUAAAAGUCUUAUCUUACAAAAACCAUUAAAUUUUACUUUACAUAAAGCAAACCCGGAAGUGCAAUACAAAUUAUUGUGUCUGGAUAAAGAGUUGUACGUGUUUAAAUGAGAACGAUCCAACAGACGCUGGAAGGACAGCAGACACCCAAGGCACUCUCACUACGAUGGGAACUACGCUUUCUCUGCAUUCUCGCCCACGCUUUGUGUCGAGAAGCGGGACAGCAGCUCGGCAACACCCAGUAACGCCGCACACCAGUCAGGAAGGCAUCGCGGCGCUGCUUUCGGUGCUGGAAGCACUAUUCACCCUGACUUAACCCAGCGCUUUCAUCUUCUUCAAAUGCCGCGCAGCACGCGUGGAAAUAACAGGCGAAUUCUUUGGGAGUUCCAAGCGGUACGUCCGCUUUUACGCUCCUAGCAGAACCGACUGUUUCCAGCCAGCUAAACGAAGCGUGAAGCGGUUUUUACUGCGCUUUAUGACCGCUUACUGCACGCCGCCUCAUCGCCUCAGCGACGGCCUCGCAGGGAAGCGGCGCGCGCAAAGCCGCGCAGAGCCCCGCGUCCCGCCGCCCGCCCGCCAGAAGCGGAGAUGCCGGGGUCCCUCUGCGGCCCCCGACGCCGCAGGCGGACAUUAAACGGCUCCCAACGGCGAGAGGACGGCGGCCCGGCUGAGGAGCCGGAGAGGAGGGUGGCUCGCUGCAGCCCCUUCUCCGCGCCCUUUACCCCGAGGCCGAGAGUCCCCACGCGCCGUCCCGUACCUCAGCCCGCGCCGCUCCCCGCUCCAGUCGCGCGGCCGCUUUAAGGAUUACAAAUCGCUCCUCGCGCCGCGCCGCCG